AGCUUUGCGCAGUGGCAGUAUCGUAGCCAAUGAGGUUUAUCCGGGGCGCAAUUAUUGCUAAUUGAAAACUUUUCCCAAGUCAAUUUUCACAUUAGCAGAUUUUCAAGAAUAUUAAUUUGUUACAUGUAUAACCAUAA
ensembl:snRNA U4 U4 spliceosomal RNA